rnacentral:tRNA from 1 species
ACUGGGUUGGCCGAGUGGUUAAGGCGUUGGACUUAAGUUCCAAUGGACAAGUGUCCGCGUGGGUUCG